rnacentral:lncRNA from 1 species
AAAACAAUUCAAAUUAAAGUCUUAAUGAUAAUCUCGUCUGUCGUCUCUCACUCAGAACAUCAUCCUAAUAUUCCUCCGUCGUCUUUGUCCAGAUCUGUGGGUGGUGCAAAAUCUGCUCUCAUCUUCUCUAUUAUUACAAAAUCUGCUCUUGGAAUGAAAUGAGAUCAGAUCUUGGAGAACCUGUCAUCUUCAUCAACUACUAUUAUUACACAAAAUCUGUUCUCAUCUUCUCUCACCAAAUUGAUCUCUCAGAUCUCAGCCCUCAACCCCCAGAUCUCAAAUUUUGCCCUUGGUCGUCUAUAUUGAGGAAUAUAUUUAGACCCUCAAAGCAACCGGAUCUUGACAUGAGAUCUUUCUCUUCGUAGUAGCACGAUUAGAACUUUCCCCAACAUUUCUACAUGUAGAUAACUUCAAAUCACCAAGCUGGUCUUCAUUAAUCAUACCUUUCCAAAGUCCGAACGGACCAAAGUUUGGACAAAACACCCCCAUUCCUACUCGUCAGCCACUUGGCCCACUUUGCUUGAAAUAGUAGGUUUAUGUUUUGCUUUAGAUCUAUCGAUCUGUCAUCCGAAAUUGGGGAUUCUGUUUGUUCCGUGUGUUUUUAUCAAUUAUAUUUAGCUCAUCUUUGUUUUGAGGUUUAUUGUAUAUGCACUGAUGCACAUGCAUUUCAUAUUUCAUAAUUUGCCGAUGCAUUUCUUUGCUUCUGAAUUCUGAUUUCUGAUUUCAAUUUUUUUUCUCUCCAUUUGAAGCAGUAUUUAUAAUGGGUUUUGUUUUGUUUGAGAAAUCAAAAAUAUGUACAAAUUUUGAUUUUUCGGUUAUAAUCGAAUAGACAAUUCGAUUUGGUUAUAAUCGAACGAUGAGUCCUACUCAUAUAAAGUCGAAAGUGAAGGAAAAUCUCC